GCAAAGAGCAUGACUCAUCUUCAUGAAUUCUGUGUGUAUUAAAGAGUUCAGUUGGGUGGCCAGGUGAUUGGUAGGAGUGGGUUAUUUACCUGGGAGGACCUGGAAAGCUUUUCACACAGUGUCAACAGGAUUGUUGUUAAGCAGCAAGUUGGCAAACAUGGGAAGGUUGUCAUUAAACAAUGUUGGGAUUCAGAACUGUUGACGUUUAUUUGCUUUUCGACUCUUCAACAGCUCGUGGAACUAUCCAAGCUGUCUACAAAAAAAGGCACAUGCAUCGUUGCACUCCUUCUCUCUCUUUUUAAAGUUCUUGGCAACCCUAAGACAAGGUGAAACAAUCCUUUAGGGCAAAGGCUUUUUUACAUGGGUUUCCCUAAGUGGACUUUCAGGGGUUCAUGAACUCCUGCAAGAUAUACAUGGCUUUGGUGUAUAAUUAUGUGCAUAUAUACAGUCUCCUAUUUGGGUCGAAUGGGAGGGUGGUACGUCUUUAUUAGAUUUUUUAAAGGGAUCUGUGAAACAAACAGAUUUACAACAGAUUUACAGUUUACAAACUCUGAUCUGGGAUCUAAAUUGAGCAGCUGUAACAAUGUGAUUGGGGAAGCAGAAAGAGGACAGUGGCAGGGUGCAUGCUCUUUCCCUACACGAUUUUUAAAAGCAAGGCCAUCUAGGUAGUCAUGGAGGUAGGGCUUAGAAACUCCUGGUCACUGCUGCCAAGUAAAAUUAGUAUGUUGAGAGCAACUGAGUUGCCAGAGAGAAAAUUAACGCAGCCCCUCAAAGAGAAAAGGCAUCAGGACAUGAUCAUCUUAUUCAGGCAUUACUUUCUAGCUUUUGGUAUUCAUUGGAAAACUGCCAGCAAGUACUGCUUUUCUAAGAGUCUCAUGCAUCAACUCCACCUCAGGUGCAAAUAGGUUCAGGACCUAUUUGCUGUUGUUCUUGGCUCAUCACGCAGCUCUGAGACUUACAUCCAGAGACCUUUACAAACCCCUCUGUUUGCUGAGUAAAAAAACUGAUGGAUCAGGAAUUGCGCUUCUUCACCCCCAAAUCUGAAUAGUUUCCUCAAAUCCCCACCAACGUAGCAGACUUCAGAAACAGUGAUCCAACAGCUAAGAUUCUGCCAUCUUAUUUCUGCUUAUUUCACACUGAGUGAAUAUCAGAGAUGCUUUUUUCCAAACUGAAAUCACCACCUUGACUGUUCCUUUCUCAUUCACUCAGUGGAUCCAUAUCCAUUCACCGUAUAAAAACAACAGUAAGCUUCACCCAGGCUACUCUCCAAGGCAGGCCUCUUCCUCAGAUUUUUUUUUGUGUGUGUGGGCGGUGGCUGGGGGGUGGUGGAUGUUUUAUGGUUUCUUAGAUUUGAGAAAAACUGGUUAAAAAUCUGCAUUCUUUUCUGGGCUUAUGGCCCAUUUGUUGGAUUGUGCCUCAUUUACUUGGUUUCCUAAAGACAUUGUUCUGCCAGUGCCUUAUCAGCUUCACUCCCAGUAUUUAGAAGUGAGUGAAUGUGGGGUUACCACCCUCCCCCAACAAACCUUGGCACCUCCCUUUUUUUUUUUUGUGGUAGGAAAUCAAACAGAAGUCUUAGCACUCUUAAAAUGUUUUUUUUGUUUGUUUGUUUUUUGUAGGGGGGCAGUACUUGUAGCAUAUGAAAGUUCCCAGGCUAGGGGUUGAAUCAGAUUGGUAGCUACCAGCCUACAUCACUGUGACGCCAGAUCCUCAACCCGCCGAGGGAGGCCAGGGAUAGAUCCUGUGUUCUCAUGGAUACUAGUCAGCUUUGUUUCCACUGAGCCACCAUGAGAAUUCCUAACAAUGGGUUUUUUUCCUUCCUACUAUCCUUCCAGCUAACUGCACACACAUCCACCAAACUCCAUUUCCGCAGAAUGUGAGGUCUAACUCAUCAAAAACCUGUCUGCUUCAGCAGUGUUGAAUGCGUUAGUAUUUUAAAUAUGCAUCUCUCUACUGAUGCUAUUGUAUGCUUUUCCCCAAGUCUAAAAAUCAUCCUUUAGCCUUUAAAUAAAAACUGUUGUUGAAACACAAGUACCUUGGGUAUAAAAUCUGGAUAGUUAUUUGCAUGUAAUUAUGAUAAGUACCAGCGUGCAGGAAAACAUAAUCACAUGGUCUGACAUUUGUGGACUUCAGAUGCAAUUUCCCCCCUAAAACUUGAACAGAUUUUUAGCUUUUAUUUUGUAAAAAUAUUAAUAAUUUUACUUUGUAAAUAUCUUAGUUUCCUACCUAUGCUAUAACAAAUUAGUGAUUUAAAACAGCACAAAUGUAUUUUCUUACAGUUCUGGAGGUCUGAAGUCCAAAUUGUCUCCCACAGGGCUGAAGUUAAGGUGUCAGCGGGUGUGUAUUCCUUCUGGAGGCUCUAGGGGAGAAUGCAUCUCUCUGCUUUUUUCCAGCUUGCAGAAACUACUCCUACUUCUUGGCUCCAGACCCCUUGCUGCGUCUUCAGCAGGACAACAUUGACUCUCUGUGAUUCCCUUCUCUUCCUCUUAUAAGACUCUUGUAACUGCAUUGGGCCCACCUGGGUAAUUCAGAACACUCUCCCCAUCUCAAGAUCUUUAAGUUAGUCACGCCUGUAAAGUCCCUUCAGCCAUGUAACAUCACGUGUUCACAAGUUCUGGAGAUUAGGAUGUGGACCUCUUUGGGGGCCAUCAUUAAUCCUGCCACAGUAAAUUGAUGGGUGUCUAUACUAUAGUGCUUACUCCAAAGAAGAUACUUGUUCUUUAAAAUUUCAUUAGAAAGCAAAUUAUUUACUUUCCAGUAGACAAAUUAACUCCAGCCAGGUCAGAACUCUUAUAGUCAAUUCAAAUGAGAAACUUUCCAAUUCAACUCCACAAAUGUGUUUUUGGGACGCAUAUAGACCAGAACAUUGAGAAAUUACAACAGCUCUUUGGGUAAAAGAAGUUGUCAAGGUAAUUUCUUUCUAGUCUGUGGUUUUCUCCACAGAUGUUGCAAAUAAAUCAGAACAAGGCUGGAGUAAUGGCACCUGUGUUUAGUAUUCUCCAAACUGUGCUGGGAGCUGACAAACUGUAAACACUCUUUUCCAUUCCUAUUCCCAGUAAAGGGCUUAUGCAGCUAGUUUGCCCUGCAGUUCUGACUUUUCCAAAUUUUGUAACUUUAUGCCUUCAGACACAGAAAACGACCGAGGAGGCUGUGCCCAGUUCUUCAGGUGGCUGAUGAUCACCCUCGCCCUUCCCUCUCCAUGCCUGCUUUCCCACUGAUGAUGAGUGAUGGGUGGUGAAGGUGGAGCAGGUGUGCCGUGUCCGCCCUUGGCGUGUUGAAGCGUGACUCGAAGGAGGAAACUUGACUUUUUAAAUUUCUUACAGGAGAGGGGAACCAAAGGGAUGACAGACUCCCAUAGGAAAGGCACACACACCUGUUUUUUUGGAUUUGAUGCUCUAGGCAGUUUCAGAAAACAAGCCCCAGAGUAAGACCAGCAACAUGAGAAUGCCUUUGUGCUCUGCAAGAUGAUUCUCAAAAGCUAAGUAGCACUUUCUGACCAGGUGCAGAAUAAUUUUUUUUUCCUUUUUCCUAAACACAGAACUAAUCUUUAUUACCUUCCUGGGCAAUAAAUUAUCCUUUCAAAAUCAUAUUGGGAAGUUCCCUGGUGGCCUAGCAGUUAAGGAUCUGGCAGUUGUCUCUGCUGUGGCAUGGGUUUGAUCCCUGGCCCAGGAACUUCCACAUGCCAUGGGUGCAGG
rnacentral:lncRNA from 1 species